AUUGAACGCUGGCGGCAGGCCUAACACAUGCAAGUCGAGCGAGCGGCGGACGGGUGAGUAAUGUAUGGGAAACUGCCUGAUGGAGAGGGCAACCGACUGGAAACGCUAGCUAAUACCGCAUACAAUCAGGUGUGCCCAGAGUGGAUUGGCUGGUAGGUGGGGUAACGGCUCACCUAGGCGACGAGACCUAGCUGGUCUGAGAGGAUGACCAGCCACACGGGAACGGAGACACGGUCCAGACUCCUACGGGAGGCAGCAGUGGGGAAUAUUGCAGAAGGGGCGCAAGCCUGUUGCAGCCAUGCCGCGUGUGUGAAGAAGGCCUUCGGGUUGUAAAGCACGUUCAGCGGGGAGGCGUUACCCGCAGAAGAAGCACCGGCUAACUCCGUGCCAGCCGCCGCGGUAAUAC
rnacentral:rRNA from 1 species